rnacentral:rRNA from 1 species
UUGGGGGAAAAUUAGUAUAAAAAUAAAUUUAAUAAAAAUAAUUUUAAAAAUAUGAUAAUUGGGGGGUUAAAGUAUUUUAAAAAGAAAAAAUUAUUUAAUUUAUAGUGAAUUAGUAUUGUGAAAGAAAUUUGAAAUAUUUGAAAAUUAAUUAAUAUAAAAGUAAAUUUUAAUUAUUGUAUCUUGUGUAUCAGAGUUUAUUAAUAAAAAAUUUUAAUUAAAAUGAUUCUCGAAUUUAAAAGAGUUAAUUAAUUAAUAAAUUUAUUGUGGCAAAAAUAUUUUUAAUAGUUAAUUAGAAAUGAAAUGUUAAUCGUUUUUAAAUAUAUCUAGUUUUUUUAGAAAAAAAUUUAAUUUUGAAUUUAAUAAGGAAAAAAAAUUAAAUAAGGAAUUUUUUUUUAUUAAAUUUAAUAUUUUAAGGGAUAAGCUUUAAUUUAAAUUUUUAUAAUGUAAUAAUUUUUUUUUGUGAAAAUUUUAAAAUUUAUAUUGUUUAAAAAUUUUAGUUUUUUAUAAAUAAUUUCAUUAAAAAUAAAAUUUAAUAAAAAUUUAAUUUUUUAUAAAAAAAUAAAAUUUAAUUUUUUAAUUUUAGAUAUAAUGAUAAAAUUAGUAUAAAUUAAUUAAUUAAUUUUAUUUAUAAUAUGUUUGUAAAAUUAAUAAUAAGGAAUUCGGCAAAAUUUUAUAUUCACUUGUUUAUCAAAAACAUGUCUUUUUGAGGGGAUAAUUUAAAGUCUAAUCUGCCCACUGAUUUAUAAUUAAAGGGCUGCAGUAUUUUGACUGUACAAAGGUAGCAUAAUCAAUAGUCUCUUAAUUGGUGACUUGUAUGAAAGAUUGGAUGAGAUAUAAACUGUCUUAAAUUUAUUUUUAGAAUUUAAUUUUUUAAUUAAAAAGUUAAAAUUUAUUUAAAAGACGAGAAGACCCUAUAGAGUUUAAUUUAAUUUUUAAUUAUAAAUUUAUAUAUUAAUUUAAAAUUUGAAUUAAAAAUUAUAUUUUAUUGGGGUGAUAGAAAAAUAAAAAUAACUUUUUUUAUAUUUGUAUAUAUAUAUAUAUAUAUAUAACAUUAAUAGAUGGUUAAAUGAUCCAUAAAUUAUGAUUAAAAGAAUAAAUUACCUUAGGGAUAACAGCGUAAUUUUUUUUUUUAGUUCGAAUAAAAAAAAAAGUUUGCGACCUCGAUGUUGGAUUAAGAUAAAAUUUAAAUGCAAAAGUUUAAAAUUUUGAUCUGUUCGAUCAUUAAAAUCUUACAUGAUCUGAGUUCAAACCGGUGUAAGCCAGGUUGGUUUCUAUCUUUAGAGAGUUGAAAUAUUUUAGUACGAAAGGAUCAAAUAUUUAAAAUAAUUUUAUUAAUGGGAAUUUUAUUAAAUUAUUUAUAUAAAUAGUAAAUUGUUAU